GACAGAGGGUGCAAACGUUGUUCGGAAUUAUUGGGCGUAAAGAGCUCGUAGGCGGCUUGUCACGUCGGAUGUGAAAGCCCGGGGCUUAACCCCGGGUCUGCAUUCGAUACGGGCUAGCUAGAGUGUGGUAGGGGAGAUCGGAAUUCCUGGUGUAGCGGUGAAAUGCGCAGAUAUCAGGAGGAACACCGGUGGCGAAGGCGGAUCUCUGGGCCAUUACUGACGCUGAGGAGCGAAAGCGUGGGGAGCGAACAGG
rnacentral:rRNA from 1 species